rnacentral:rRNA from 1 species
UAGGGAAUCUUCGGCAAUGGACGAAAGUCUGACCGAGCAACGCCGCGUGAGUGAAGAAGGUUUUCGGAUCGUAAAACUCUGUUGUUAAAGAAGAACACGUAUGAGAGUAACUGUUCAUACGUUGACGGUAUUUAACCAGAAAGUCACGGCUAACUACGUGCCAG